rnacentral:rRNA from 1 species
AUUGAACGCUGGCGGCAGGCCUAACACAUGCAAGUCGAACGAGUGGCGGACGUGUGAGUAAUGUCUGGGAAACUGCCCGAUGGCGGGGGAUAACUACUGGAAACUGUAGCUAACACCGCACACUAUCGGAUGUGCCCAGAUGGGUUUAGCUAGUAGGUGGGGUAACGGCUCACCUAGGCGACGACCCCUAGCUGGUCCGAGAGGAUGCCCAGCCAAACUGGGACUGAGACACGGUCCAGACUCCUACGGGAGGCAGCAGUGGGGAAUAUUGCACAAGGGGCGCAAGCCUGAUGCAGCCAUGCCGCGUGUAUGAAGAAGGCCUUCGGGUUGUAAAGUACUUUCAGCGAGGAGGCGUUACUCGCAGAAGAAGCACCGGCUAACUCCGUGCCAGCAGCCGCGGUAAUUC